ACUCCUACGGGAGGCAGCAGUGGGGAAUAUUGCACAAUGGGGGAAAGCCCAUCGAUGCAGCCAUGCCGCGUGUGUGAAGAAGGCCUUCGGGUUGUAAAGACACUUUCAGUAGGGAGGAAGGUAGUGUAGUUAACACCUGCACUAUUUGACGUUACCUACAGAAGAAGCACCGGCUAACUCCGUGCCAGCAGCCGCGGUAAUACGGAGGGUGCGAGCGUUAAUCGGAAUUACUGGGCGUAAAGCGCAUGCAGGCGGCCUGUUAAGUCAGAUGUGAAAGCCCGGGGCUUAACCUCGGAAUUGCAUUUGAAACUGGCAGGCUAGAGUCUUGUAGAGGGGGUGAGAAUU
rnacentral:rRNA from 1 species